GAGAAAACUGAAAGGAUUGUAGAGUACCUCCAUGAAAGCUUCCUAGAGAUAUCCAUGGCAGAUUCCCAGGCCAUCCCCAUGCACAUAAACAGUCUUUUUUUGGAGAGCACCCUCUGUGUAGCUGGUGUAGCCACCGAUACCCACUACACCUAUGUUUUUGUUCAGAUUAAACAUAAAAAAUAAUAUCAUGUAACCCUUACAAUUUGAUUGGAAAUGUGUACUCACCAGAGGUGCCUUCCCUGGCCUCAUGCUCUGCUGCCAACUGGUCCCGUGAAGGGGUAGGGUCCAGGGUUAAAAACAGUUUUUGGCUGUCAGGGAGAAUGGAUCCUCCACUUGCCUGCCUCACGUUCUCCUCCUCUUUCUCAACAAUGCCCUCCUUGUUGUUGCUCAGGGUCACCUGGGGCUUCUGGGAGGUAUCCACGGAGCAUGUGGGGUAGCGGUGGGGUCGCUGUCAAGAAUAGCAUGCAGCUCCUCAUAAAAACGGCUUGUUUGUGGGGCAGAACCAGAACGACUGUUUGCCUCGCUUAUCUUCUGGUAUGCUUGCAGAAGCUCCUUUAUUUUCAGGGGGCAGUGCAGUGUGUCCCUGGUGUAGUCCUUUUCCUCCACGCAAUCUUAGCAUAGAUGUCUGCAUUUCUUCUGCUGGAUCGGAGCUCUGCCCACACGGACUCUUCUCCACACAGCAAUAAGAUCCACCACCUCCUCUGUAUUCCUUGCUGGAGCGCAUUUGCGGCCUUGAGUCUCCAUGAUCAUCUUUGUUGGCAAGUUCUCCAUGCUGAUCAAACAGGAAAUGAAAAUUCAAAAGCUCCUGGCGCUUUAACAGGGGAGCGGCUGUUUCCUGUGUACGUGGCUGACAUACCCUGGAGUUGAAAGUGCUCUUCAUAGCAGUCACAGCAGAGACCUAGAGGCCAAUUCAUUUGAAUUACACAGUGCAGUGUCUACACUAUCCUCAUGUUGACCCAUGGAUGUCGAAUCAAGCGCUAUGCCUCUCGUGGAGACAGCAAAAGGGAAGAGACAAAAAAGACAGGAAAAUGGAUUGUAAAACUACACAGAUUGACAAGUGAAGUAUCAAAGUAUUUCUUUCUAUUUUGUAAGUGGACUAAAUUUCAACUUGCUAUCCUUUAAUGAUUAUGGUACUUUGAUAUUUUUAAAGAACAGAUUUGCUUAGUUGUCUAGUUACUGUUAGAGUAACCUCAGUGUCCACCUUAAGAAAGAUGGAAGGUGUUAAGAAGUCCUUUGGUGUGAGAGCCACCAUGUCAGAGCAUGUAUAGGUGGUGCAACAGAAUUGAAUCAACCACUAACACUAGUAGUAAAGAAUAAUAAUCUUGCUGCUCCAGCAUUAUCUGUCUCAUUCAGAAAGUGCAACUGUGUCCAUCCAAGCAAACUAAAAAGAGGAUCAGUUUUUCAUCUUACAAUAUAUUGAAACAAACUGUAGGUGAAAAAGUAGCAAAAAAUCAAUUUUAACAUGCUUUAUAAGUUUAUGUUUUUAAUUGGCUGCAUUGCCAAUCAUGAAUGAAAAUUAGGAUUUCAUUUCAAGAAUUACGUCAAUAAUUAUACAUACAUUUGCUUAACCCUUUUCCAUUAAGAAAUCCAUAUUUUAAAUCAAUUUAAAAGAUAUGUCUUUAUCCUUACACAUUGCAGUAAUUUCAUAAGCAAUAACUUUUUAAACCAGUAAAUAAGCAGUUAAGGGACAGAAGAAAGAGCAGUUUUUGUAAAAUACAUUUAUUUCAUAACAUUCUCUCUCUUUUUACAUGUGUUACUAAUUAAAGUGUUUUUAAGAAUUUUUCAAAGUCCUUUACUGAGGCCUUGGCAACCUCUGUACAAACACCUCAUCGGGCAUGGGAUACUAGUUUGUCCAGAGAGAUGUAGCUGGGCUGUGCUGGGUCAUACUGUG